GACGAACGCUGGCGGCGUGCCUAAUACAUGCAAGUUGAGCGCUGAAGGUUGGUACUUGUACCGACUGGAUGAGCAGCGAACGGGUGAGUAACGCGUGGGGAAUCUGCCUUUGAGCGGGGGACAACAUUUGGAAACGAAUGCUAAUACCGCAUAAAAACUUUAAACACAAGUUUUAAGUUUGAAAGAUGCAAUUGCAUCACUCAAAGAUGAUCCCGCGUUGUAUUAGCUAGUUGGUGAGGUAAAGGCUCACCAAGGCGAUGAUACAUAGCCGACCUGAGAGGGUGGUCGGCCCCAUUGGGACUGAGACACGGCCCAAACUCCUACGGGAGGCAGCAGUAGGGAAUCUUCGGCAAUGGACGAAAGUCUGACCGAGCAACGCCGCGUGAGUGAAGAAGGUUUUCGGAUCGUAAAACUCUGUUGGUAGAGAAGAACGUUGGUGAGAGUGGAAAGCUCAUCAAGUGACGGUAACUACCCAGAAAGGGACGGCUAACUACGUG
rnacentral:rRNA from 1 species